rnacentral:rRNA from 1 species
UACGGAGGGGGCGAGCGUUAUUCGGAAUUAUUGGGCGUAAAGGGCGCGUAGGCGGCCUUGUAAGUCAAAGGUGAAAUCCCUCGGCUCAACUGAGGAACUGCCUUUGAAACUGCAAGGCUCGAGGCCGGGAGGGGGUAGCGGAAUUCCCAAUGUAGCGGUGAAAUGCGUAGAUAUUGGGAGGAACACCAGUGGCGAAGGCGGCUACCUGGACCGGUUCUGACGCUGAGGCGCGAAAGCGUGGGUAGCAAACAGG